UCAUCCGAGGCCCCGUAAUCGGAAUGAGUACACUUUAAAUCCUUUAACAAGGACCAAUUGGAGGGCAAGUCUGGUGCCAGCAGCCGCGGUAAUUCCAGCUCCAAUAGCGUAUAUUAAAGUUGUUGCGGUUAAAAAGCUCGUAGUUGAAUCUGUGUGUCACAGUGUCGGUUCACCGCUCGCGGUGUCUAACUGGCAUUAUGUGGUACGUCCUACCGGUGGGCUUAGCUCCUUGCGGGCGGUCCAACUAAUCUCCCAUCGCGGUGCUCUUCACUGAGUGUCGAGGUGGGCCGGUACGUUUACUUUGAACAAAUUAGAGUGCUCAAAGCAGGCUACCUUCGCCUGAAUACUGCGUGCAUGGAAUAAUGGAAUAGGACCUCGGUUCUAUUUUGUUGGUUUUCGGAACCCCGAGGUAAUGAUUAAUAGGGACAGAUGGGGGCAUUCGUAUUGCGACGUUAGAGGUGAAAUUCUUGGAUCGUCGCAAGACGGACUAAAGCGAAAGCAUUUGCCAAAAAUGUUUUCAUUAAUCAAGAACGAAAGUUAGAGGUUCGAAGGCNAUCAGAUACCGCCCUAGUUCUAACCAUAAACGAUGCCAGCUAGCGAUCCGCCGAAGUUCCUCCGAUGACUCGGCGGGCAGCUUCCGGGAAACCAAAGCUUUUGGGUUCCGGGGGAAGUAUGGUUGCAAAGCUGAAACUUAAAGGAAUUGACGGAAGGGCACCACCAGGAGUGGAGCCUGCGGCUUAAUUUGACUC
rnacentral:rRNA from 1 species